AGGCGAGUAGCUCAAUUGGCUAGAGCAUCGGUCUCCAAAACCGAGGGUUGCAGGUUCAACUCCUGCCUCGCCUG
rnacentral:tRNA from 1 species